rnacentral:rRNA from 1 species
UACGGGGGGAGCAAGCGUUGUUCGGAUUUACUGGGCGUAAAGGGCGCGUAGGCGGCGCGACAAGUCACUUGUGAAAUCUCUGGGCUCAACCCAGAACGGUCAAGUGAUACUGUCGUGCUAGAGUGCGGAAGGGGCAACUGGAAUUCUUGGUGUAGCGGUGAAAUGCGUAGAUAUCAAGAGGAACACCAGUGGCGAAGGCGAGUCCCUGGACGAUACCUGACACUGAGGCACGAAAGCCAAGGGAGCAAACAGG